UUAAGUUCAGCGGGUAUCCCUACCUGAUCCGAGGUCAACCUGUAAAAAUUGGGGGUUCUGGCAAGUGACCGGAGGGACCCUAUAGCGAGGAGAUUUACUACGCUUAGAGCCCACCGGCACCGCCACUGAUUUUAGGAGCCGCGGGACCGCGAACUCCAAUACCAAGCUAGGCUUGAGUGGUUAUAAUGACGCUCGAACAG
rnacentral:misc_RNA from 1 species